GCUCAGAACGAACGCUGGCGGCAGGCUUAACACAUGCAAGUCGAACGCCCCGCAAGGGGAGUGGCAGACGGGUGAGGAACACGUGGGAACGUACCCUUUGGUUCGGAACAACCCUGGGAAACUAGGGCUAAUACCGGAUACGAGCGAGAGCUGAAAGGUUUACCGCCGAAGGAUCGGCCCGCGUCUGAUUAGCUAGUUGGUGAGGUAAUGGCUCACCAAGGCGACGAUCAGUAGCUGGUCUGAGAGGAUGAUCAGCCACAUUGGGACUGAGACACGGCCCAAACUCCUACGGGAGGCAGCAGUGGGGAAUAUUGGACAAUGGGCGCAAGCCUGAUCCAGCCAUGCCGCGUGAGUGAUGACGGCCCUAGGGUUGUAAAGCUCUUUUACCCGGGAAGAUAAUGACGGUACCGGGAGAAUAAGCCCCGGCUAACUUCGUGCCAGCAGCCGCGGUAAUACGAAGGGGGCUAGCGUUGUUCGGAUUUACUGGGCGUAAAGCGCACGUAGGCGGACGCUUAAGUCAGGGGUGAAAUCCCGAGGCUCAACCUCGGAACUGCCUUUGAUACUGGGUGUCUUGAGUCCGGAAGAGGUGAGUGGAACUGCGAGUGUAGAGGUGAAAUUCGUAGAUAUUCGCAAGAACACCAGUGGCGAAGGCGGCUCACUG
rnacentral:rRNA from 1 species